UAAUACAGAGGUGGCAAGCGUUGUUCGGAAUUACUGGGCGUAAAGGGCGCGUAGGCGGCCAUCUAAGUCAGACGUGAAAUCCCCCGGCUCAACCUGGGAACUGCGUCUGAUACUGGAAGGCUAGAGUUUGGGAGAGGGAUGUAGAAUUCCAGGUGUAGCGGUGAAAUGCGUAGAUAUCUGGAGGAAUACCGGUGGCGAAGGCGGCAUCCUGGACCAAUACUGACGCUGAGGCGCGAAAGCUAGGGGAGCAAACGGG
rnacentral:rRNA from 1 species